UUGGAGGGCAAGUCUGGUGCCAGCAGCCGCGGUAAUUCCAGCUCCAAUAGCGUAUAUUAAAGUUGUUGCAGUUAAAAAGCUCGUAGUUGAAUUUCGAGAUCAGUACGCUGGUCGUGCCUUCGGUAUGCACUGGUGUCUCUGGUUUCUCCCUUCUGAAGAACCGUCAUGUCAUUAAGUUGAUGUGGCGGGGAAUCAGGACUGUUACUUUGAAAAAAUUAGAGUGUUUAAAGCAGGCUCGCGCUUGAAUACAUUAGCAUGGAAUAAUGAAAUAGGACGUUUGACCCUAUUUUGUUGGUUUCUAGGAUCGACGUAAUGAUUAAUAGGAAUAGUUGGGGGCAUUAGUAUUCAAUUGUCAGAGGUGAAAUUCUUGGAUUUAUUGAAGACUAACUACUACGAAAGCAUUUGCCAAGGAUGUUUUCAUUAAUCAAGAACGAAAGCUAGGGGAUCGAAGACGAUCAGAUACCGUCGUAGUCUUAACCAUAAACUAUGCCGACUAGGGAUCGGAUGAUGUUAAUUUUUUAAUGACUCAUUCGGCGCCUUACGGGAAAC
rnacentral:rRNA from 1 species